rnacentral:lncRNA from 1 species
AUGCCCACCAAGACUGUUACGUGCCCUAACCUCAACCAAGCAAAUAACCAUCACAAUAACCACAAAAUACAAGUGAUUCACUUAAGACCACCAUUUUCUCUCUCCAAUUUCUUUUUAAAUUGGGUCACAACGCGGCAAAUGUGAAUUUCGAUAAGUAGUCAUUUAUCUACCACUGAAUUGGAAAAUAAACUUAUAAAUGAAUUUUUUUGGCUAGUUUGAGUGUAUGUCUUAUCGUUAUAAUUAUUAGAUUAUUUUUUUAAAAUUAUUUGAAAUGAGCUACACAAAUUUUAGUCAUCGGUAUCUCUACUUUACUGGCUCAAUACUCUAUUUUUUUUUUAUGUAAAAAUCAACCUCCCUAUCUAUCUAGGUUAACGUAUGUUUCUCUCUCUAAAUUUUGAGGUUUCACACCGGCGGGGAAAAAGUUGAGCCGCAGCGUGAGUGACUCGUGAGAAGGGAGAAGUAAAUGAUGCCUGACAAGUCACGGGACUGUGGCAUGUGGCCGUAAGCUGAGCCUAAGAUGUGAAGAGAGAAUAAACAGAGAAGAGAGAGAAAGAAAGAUGUGAGGAGCGAGAAACAGAAAGGCGAUGACGAAACUGAACCAAAGAUGUGAAGAGAGAAAAACAGAGAAAAGAUGAGGAGAGAGAAAGAAAGAUGUGAGGAGGGAAAAAGAGAGAGAUGAGGGAAGGGAAAAAGAGAGAGGAGAUGAGGAGAGAGAAAGAGGUGAAGAGAGAGAAAGACGCGAUAGAAAAAAGUACGGAUUUUGAGGUGCAGUGUGGACCCUCCGUGUGCGUCACCCACGUACCUCACUGCUGCAAUCUUACGCCGCUUAAAUGAGCCCCUCGCGCAUUUUCUCCCUUCUGAACGACCUUUACUACACAACAAAACAAAAAACACGCACAACCAUUAACACAUCGCUGAAGCCCACUAGGCGGCUAAUCAACGUGCAACCCUAAUUAAUAUGGUCAUCAAUGCUAUAAAAGGAAAGUCAUCAAGACGUUAAUGACGCAAACGUCGAUCAAAGUCGUCGAGGCAGGCUUUCCCUCUAGAAACUCGCUUUACAGUAGCCUCUUUUAAGUUUCUCUCUCUGUGCAUUUUUCUCAAGUACUUUGGCAAGGGGAACCGGAACCGGAACGGGGCGAUAGUUUGGAGGCGGUUUAACCGGCCUAAUCAAUAAACUAACCAAUUCAACCGUUUUAAUCACACAAAUCUCUAAAGGUCAAAAGAGUAUUGAAAAAAUAAAAAUAUAUAGAAAAAUAUAUUCUAAAAUAUAAAAAGCAUGCAAAAGAAUAUUAAAACAAAGAGAAAUGACCCCUCUCACACCUAUGUAUAUAGAAUCCUCAAAAGAUUACCAUUAAAAUUAACAUAAAUAUCUAGAAAAGUCAAAUUUUAUACCUACGUGAUAAUUUUUUUUGAGAUCCGUAUCAACUUUAAUGGUGAUCUUUUGGAAUCCUAAACACAUGAGUAGAAGAGGGUCAUAUAAGAUGAUUACUCUAAAACAAAACACAUUUAAAUAAAGUUGAAAAUUAAUGAAGAAAUAAAUUUUAACGAAUCACCCAUAACUAUUAUUGACCAAAACAAUUUAUAAUCUUUAGCGUCAUAUAAAGAUUACUUAAAAAAUAUAUUACAAAUCAAAUUCUUUAUUUUUGAAUAUAUAUAUAUAUAUAUAUAUAUAUUAUUUUUUAUUUAUUUAUUUUAAAAAUUUCAAUCAAUCACCAAAACCUCUCAAAAUCGGAAUUGGCCGGUUCUGAUCUAUUAGCAAUUAGAUUGCCUUGUUCUUCUAACAAUAACUUGAGCCAUGGCAAGAGACGAGAAAUAAAGUGUCAAAGACGAUAGGGAGCCACUAUGGUUAAGUAUGUUCCUGCUCAACAUUACCAUCAUUUUAUUUUAUUUUUUAAUUCAUUGGGCCGCACUCCAUGAAUUCUAAUUCUCUAUUAUGCUCUAUUAAAAAUUAUAGGAAAAAGUUUAUAUAGAGCCUAAGAUAUAAACAAUCAAAUUAGAGACUAUCUCAAAAUUUUCACUAAAAGAGGUUGUUUUGAUGCCCAAAUAUCAUCAAUUUGAUCAUCUCGACAUUAAGAUACAUGGACAUGAGUAAAAAUUGGAUUUUAAGUUUCGAAAAUAGUGCAUCUUGUAACGUUUUUUUGGACCGUCAAUUUUUAAUCUGUUCAAGUUUUCAUAGAUCUGUUCCGCAUACAUUAUUUUUUAAGCUUUAAAUUUUGUAAUUAAAGAUAAAAAUACAUUUUAAGGCUAUCACAAAAAUUUCUAAUAUAAAAACUAUAUUUCUUGUACUAUCUGAAGGUGGGCUCUAAUUGGAUUGUCUAGAGCCUCGGUUCUAUACAAACCACACCCAAAACUAUACCUUCAUGCUAUAAAUUCUCGUAUCAUAUCUUUCGGUAAUGAGGGGGACAAAGACUGGGUCAAAGGAAAUAAUGAAGCCGCGGCAUCAGGUUUCAGUGCUACGGCUAGGUGUUAAGGUUACAGCAAGUGAGACAGAGUUUGAGAGAGAGAAAGGAGAGGAGACAGGGGUAGAGAGAGAAACUGGAGGUAGGAUCAGAGAGAGAGAAAGACAGGUUUUAAAGAGAGAAACUAAGAUAGGUUGGGAGAGAGGGUUUUAGAGAGAGAAAUUGAGAGAGCGCGUUUCAGACAGAGAAAUUGGGACAGAGAGGGGGUUAGGUUUGAGAGAGAAAUUGUAUAGAGAGAGAGAGGGUGGGGUCAGGAGAAUGGGGAUACACAGUAUGUUGGUUUUUGUAGCAGAAGCACUAUCUUUUCUCGAGUGCUUGAUUGACAUUGAGUGCAGAAGGAGAGAGAACGCGUAUGGGUUAUGGAAGGGAAGAUAGAGAGAGUUAGAAAGGAAGGGGGGCCCUCGGUUAGUGGUAGAGACUGACAGGUGAGAGAGAAGAUGGGUACUCCAUACCUGGGGACCGGGGAGC